rnacentral:rRNA from 1 species
CUGCGAGUGAAGAGGGAAGAGCUCAAAUUUAGAAUCUGGCAGUCUUUGGCUGUCCGAGUUGUAAAUUAGAGAAGUGUUAUCCGCGCUGGACUGUGCAUAAGUCUCUUGGAAAAGGGCAUCAUAGAGGGUGACAAUCCCGUCUUUGGCACAGACUCCCAGGGCUUUGUGAUGCGCUCUCGAUGAGUCGAGUUGUUUGGGAAUGCAGCUCUAAAUGGGUGGUAAAUUCCAUCUAAAGCUAAAUAUUGGCGAGAAACCGAUAGCGCACAAGUACCGUGAGGGAAAGAUGAAAAGAACUUUGAAAAGAGAGUUAAACAGUACGUGAAAUUGUUGAAAGGGAAACGCUUGAAGUCAGUCACAUCUUUCAGAAAUCAACCUGACUUGUCUGGUGUACUUUCUGUUAUGAUGGGUCAGCAUCAAUUUUGACCAUUGGAUAAAGACUUGGGGAAAGUGGCAUCUCCGGAUGUGUUAUAGCCCUUGGUUACACAAUGGUUGGGAUUGAGGAACUCAGUGUCAGGAUGCUGGCAUAAUGGCUUUAAUCGACCCGUCUUGAAACACGGACCAAGGAGUCUAACAUACAUGCGAGUGUUUGAGUGGAAAACUCAAGCGCGCAAUGAAAGUGAAAGUUGAGAACCCUGUCGUGGGGUGCAUCGACGCCCGGACCUGACCUUUUGUGAUGGACCUGCGGUAGAGCAUGCAUGUUGGGACCCGAAAGAUGGUGAACUAUGCCUGAAUAGGGUGAAGCCAGAGGAAACUCUGGUGGAAGCUCGUAGCGAU